rnacentral:rRNA from 1 species
UACCAGCACCCCGAGUGGUCGGGACGAUUAUUGGGCCUAAAGCAUCCGUAGCCGGUUCUGCAAGUCCCCCGUUAAAUCCAGCUGCUCAACAGAUGGGCUGCGGAGGAUACUAUAAGACUAGGAGGCAGGAGAGGCAAGCGGUACUCAGUGGGUAGGGGUAAAAUCCGUUGAUCCAUUGAAGACCACCAGUGGCGAAGGCGGCUUGCCAGAAUGCGCUCGACGGUGAGGGAUGAAAGCUGGGGGAGCAAACCGG